UGGGGAAUAUUGCACAAUGGGCGCAAGCCUGAUGCAGCCAUGCCGCGUGUGUGAAGAAGGCCUUCGGGUUGUAAAGCACUUUCAGCGAGGAGGAAGGCAUUAAGGUUAAUAACCUUAGUGAUUGACGUUACUCGCAGAAGAAGCACCGGCUAACUCCGUGCCAGCAGCCGCGGUAAUACGGAGGGUGCAAGCGUUAAUCGGAAUUACUGGGCGUAAAGCGCACGCAGGCGGUUUGUUAAGUCAGAUGUGAAAUCCCCGAGCUUAACUUGGGAACUGCAUUUGAAACUGGCAAGCUAGAGUCUUGUAGAGGGGGGUAGAAUUCCAGGUGUAGCGGUGAAAUGCGUAGAGAUCUGGAGGAAUACCGGUGGCGAAGGCGGCCCCCUGGACAAAGACUGACGCUCAGGUGCGAAAGCGUGGGGCAGCAAACAGGAUUAGAUACCCUGGUAGUCCAGC
rnacentral:rRNA from 1 species